UGUACAUACUUAAAAGGUCAAGGUAAACUUUAUUAUCCACAAGUAGGAAAUUCCUGUUGUCAUCAUUACA